GGGCGGGUGGUGGAAUGGCAGACACGAGGGACUUAAAAUCCCUUCUCCGCAAGGAGGUGAGGGUUCGACUCCCUCUCCGCCCA
rnacentral:tRNA from 1 species